rnacentral:rRNA from 1 species
AUGACCUACAUGGAUCAAGAAGUGGACUGGUUUGAUAGCUGCGACAGUGAUACUUGGUCAGUUCUAUGGAUUGAUGUUUUUCUUCUCCAAUUGGGCUAUGACAGUGCUGUGUCCAAGAUAGAUGUGUAUUGGAGCAAACCUGGAAAGUCUUUGUGUGAUGGCCUUCAGUUGAUUGCAUGUGAUGCACACAUUGUCCUUAUGAUUGCUGCAACAGUGGAUCACAAGAACUUGGUCUUGCUUGUAGACCAUGGUGACACCCUGGAGUCAGUAACUGAUGAUGAUGUGUUGGUAGAGGGGAUGCCUGAGCUGCCAAGGGUUAUUACUCCAGUUAAGUCAGCAAAGGGAAAAGAAAAUGUGGACAACUUUGAGAAACCAGAAAUUGCAACAGAGAUGAGAUGUAACUACAAGAAAGCAAAGAGAUUCAUGUCAUUUGGUGAGGGCUGUAGCUCAAGGGUUCCAUAUCGAGAAUUUGAGGAAGAAGAUGGCAAUUGUGACAGUGAUGACAGUAGUGCUGAAGAUGCAGGUGACAGUAGUGACGAACAUGUAGAUGCAGAAGUUGAAACUGAUGAGGAUUUCUAUGAGAGUGAUUACGAAGUAGCACAAGGUGAUGAUGAUCUGUUUGAGAGCAAUGUAGACAAAGAUGUUGAUGACCAUAGACAGAAGGAGAUUGUGCCUGACUUUGAAGGAGAACUUCCUGAAGAUGCCCUAGAUGACAGUCAUGUGAACCUAUCAAAAGAAGAAGGAGACAAGCUUAGAUACAAAUUCAGCACAUUCAAUCCAUUCAGUGACCUUAAAGCACCAACUUUUAGAGUUGGCAUGCUUUUUGGUGAUAUGAAAGAGCUAAGGCUUGUUGUGGUUGCAUACAGUGUAAGAAACAGAGUAAAGGUUGAGAAGAUAAGGAAUACGACCACCAAAUUUGAGGUAGUAUGCAAGCCUGGAUGUACUUGGUACUUGAAGGCGGGCAGAGAUAACAGGAGUACUAGAAUUCAGAUAAAGAAAUACCUUGACAAUCACACAUGCACCAAGGCUUGGGAUCUGAAAGCUUUGACUGCACCAUUCCUGACUGCACAAUUCAGAGAAGAAUUCAGAGACAAUGAGAAGAUGCCUUUGAGAAAGUUUUCAGAUAAAGUGGAGCAGGAAUUCAACAUGGUUGCAAAGAGAAGUAAGCUGGUAGGGCAAGAAGAGCAGCAGUUAAACAAAUUCGAGGUGAAGAUGAUGACCAAUACAAUAUGUUGUGGGACUAUGGCCAAGAGCUUAGGAGGACUAACCCAGGAAGCAAGUUCUUCGUGUGCACUAAGGAGGUUUUUGAUGAUAGGACUAAAGAAACAAAAGACCACUUCUCAACCCUGUACUGGUCAUAUGAUGCAUGUAAGAGAGGGUACCUUAUAUUCAAGUCAUCUUUCUCGGUGGGUGCCACAUAAAAACUAG